rnacentral:rRNA from 1 species
UACGGGGGGGGGCAAGCGUUGUUCGGAAUUACUGGGCGUAAAGGGCUCGUAGGCGGCCAACUAAGUCAUACGUGAAAUCCCUCGGCUUAACCGGGGAACUGCGUCUGAUACUGGAUGGCUUGAGUUCGGGAGAGGGAUGCGGAAUUCCAGGUGUAGCGGUGAAAUGCGUAGAUAUCUGGAGGAACACCGGUGGCGAAGGCGGCAUCCUGGACCGAUACUGACGCUGAGGAGCGAAAGCCAGGGGAGCAAAACGGGG